GUGGCAACCGUCAGAAAACAACCAUAAAUCUGUGUGAGCAAAGCUCGGGAGCUCUUGUGAGAGACACUCAACAAAUUACUGCUCUUGGUCGCUGAUGUCUCUUUUCUCGUUUUUUCUCAACCUCGGUUUCCCUUGUUAGGCAAAGAGAGAGAGAGAGAGGUGGAACAGCACGUCACUUCAGGAAAACGCAGAUUGGGAGCCUAUGCUGC
ensembl:ncRNA K09G1.5 ncRNA